UUCUUUCUUUUACUCAUCGACGAAAGAUUAUGGUUUCCAAUUUUAACUCUUUCUUUUACUCAUCGACGAUUAUGUUUUAUUCAGGGAAUUGCAGUUCCGAAAGGAAUUCGCUGUUCACUUUAUUGUUCAUAUGGCUGAAACAAAAAAUAGGUGUUCUUCGAGAAGAAGAAGAUGAAGGAGAAUAAGAAGUCAAAAAAUGAGAAGUUGUAUUUUUUUUUUAAGAAAAAUGUCAUUAAAAUCCCCAAAUUAAUGUUUUUGUUGAUUUUAAUCACGAAGUCUGUGUUUGGAGGAAUAAAACACUAACUAUGUGUUGACUUCAAAAUAAAUCCUAAACUUUCGUUGACUUA